rnacentral:rRNA from 1 species
UGGCGGACGGGUGAGUAACGCGUGGGAACGUGCCUUCUGGUUCGGAAUAACUCAGGGAAACUUGAGCUAAUACCGGAUACGCCCUUUUGGGGAAAGGUUUACUGCCGGAAGAUCGGCCCGCGUCUGAUUAGCUAGUUGGUGGGGUAACGGCCUACCAAGGCGACGAUCAGUAGCUGGUCUGAGAGGAUGAUCAGCCACACUGGGACUGAGACACGGCCCAGACUCCUACGGGAGGCAGCAGUGGGGAAUAUUGGACAAUGGGGGCAACCCUGAUCCAGCCAUGCCGCGUGAGUGAUGAAGGCCUUAGGGUUGUAAAGCUCUUUUAUCCGGGACGAUAAUGACGGUACCGGAGGAAUAAGCCCCGGCUAACUUCGUGCCAGCAGCCG